UAUUAUGGAUAAAUACAGGUACUUCAAUAAAAUGUAAUUUUGGGUACUGUCAGAUCUACAUGUUACGCUACAAGUUUCUUCUCAUAAUUACAUAUUUAACAACUAGUAUGGCUAAUCAGUACAAAAUUUUGGAGGUGUUACACUACAAGGCAGAAGAGAAUAUCUGUCCUUGCAAGCAGUCUUGAAGACCUUCUGAAGAAAGCUGGUGACAAGCAACAGUUGCAAGGAGGAAGUUUGAUUGUUGUGCUGGAAAAAGAUGUGACAGAAAUGGAAGAAAACGCCAUCCUUGACAUAUUCAAAACUAAGUAUUGAUGCUUCUAGAAGACCAACAAUUAUGAGAACCAGAUAUUCCAAAAGACACUGUUGUAAUGUUUGGGCAGACACCCAAGAUGCCAACAUGUCAAAGACUGAGACAGAGUCCACAACUGUUACCAUAGCGACAGAAAUUGUAACACCAUCUUAUGUUGUUGGAAAUUAAAUUAAUUCUUGCAGUAGGCCACAUCCAACCAUUUGUUGACAAUCUAGAGAUAUUGUUUGAAGCAGUAGCUACACUUAAACCUGGAGGAAAAGAGUGCAAAGAUGAUUUGGACGUUAUAAGAGCCAUAGAAAGUAAUACAGGAUUCAAACAUGGAAAGGGGUGCAAGACUAGAUAAAUUGUAGUUCUACAUAAGGAUAUUGAAGAAGCUAAUCUGUUAAAGGUCCUGUCAUCACAGCCUAAUACUCCUCCAAGUGAAGCCUUGUUUUUAUUUUUAACAACAUAGAACUGGACAAACAGUAUAUUGUUGGAGACCAGUGCAAGAUACCACUUGAGACAGAUAGCCUCAUGGAAGGGCUAUUCUUAUUGAUAAGCUGGUAUUAUAUAAUGGAUCUAGAAAAUCCCACUGCUUUUCACAACUCCUUGGAUUCAUGCAACAAACAGUAUUUAAACAAGCCUUUUUUAGUCACAAGUCGGCUGGGUAUUUACACUUUGUGGAACAAUUGGAAAAACUAAUGAACAAAUAGAACCAACAUUUUAAAUUAAAUUCAACCUUCUGUGUCAUGGACAUAUUAUUGACUUCUUAACAGCUUACAUUUUACCAUGAAAAAACCUGCUUUUUUUGCACUUACAAAAACAAAGGUGCAGAAUAGCUGUGUGGUAACCAUCAGCUGAUCAGUGCCUUUAUUUUUGCUGCAUAGAUGGUGCAAUCCCUCCCCUUCCAGGCUUCCUUAAUCAGACAUUGAAAUCCUCUUGAUGUCUGAACAUGAAGCUGUAUAUUUUGGCUCUAUUUCAAAUAGCAAAUGUCAAGUGUCAAUAUUUUUCAAAACAGCUAAGACUAUGCUUCUUUUUAGGAACUUUUAAAUCCAGUGAUUUAUCAAAUUAUUAUUCACUAGCAGAAAAGAUUGACUUAAUAAUGCAGUGUUUAAACACUAAUUUUAUUAUUUAUGACAUCAGUAUGUUAUUGCAGACUGUGACACUUUUUAUGUCAAUGAAGCAUUAAAAUGCCAUAUAUUAUAAAAUUGUUUAUUACAGUUAAGAAGUAUUAGUGCUAUUUGUUGUUUGCAAAUGUUAAUAUGCUCUUAUUUUGUACAUGCUAUAGUAAGUUUAAUAUAUUGCAUUGAUGUCUUAAAUAAGUUUGUAUUUUGUUGAUGUAUUACUGUCUAACUUUAACACAUGCUCACUUCAUUAUCAUAUCAGAUAUCAGAUUUAUUAAAUUUUCAUUUACUGAUUUCAAGUGGUAAGCAGAAUUAUUUACAGAGAUCACUAGUUUUCACUGAUCAGGCACCUUUGUUGUGCAUUUAAAUUUUUGGUGUUUUCGGAGUCAAAGAAAUGAUUUAUCAAAAUAUUGUAUAAAGUUGCAUUGUAACAUUUUAGAGUGCUAAAGUGUACCAUUUUUUUUAUAUGCCCGAAAGGGCAUAUUAUGUUAUACCCCCUGGCGUCUGUCCGUCCGUCCGUCCGUCUGUUAGCAAUUUGGUUUCCGGAGCAUAACUUAAGUUCCAUUUGACCCACAAUGUUCAAACUUCAUAGGAUGAUUGUCCAUAUUGGGUAGAAGAUCCCUAUUGAUUUUGGGGUCAAAGGUCAAGGUCACUAUAACCUUGAUACUGAAAACAGUUUCUGUCCGUUAGCAAUUUGUCCGUUAGCAAUUUGGUUUCCGGAGCAUAACUUAAGUUCCAUUUGGCCCACAAUGUUCAAACUUCAUAGGAUGAUUGUCCAUAUUAGGUAGAAGAUCCCUAUUGAUUUUGGGGUCAAAAGGUCAAAGGUCAAGGUCACUAUUACCUUGAUACUGAAAACAGUUUCCGUCCGUUAGCAAUUUGGUUUCCGGAGCAUAACUUAAGUUCCAUUUGGCCCACAAAGUUCAAACUUCAUAGGAUGAUUGUCCUUGUUGGGUAGAAGACCCCUAUUGAUUUUGGGGUCAAAAGGUCAAAGGUCAAUGUCACUAUUACCUUAAAACUGAAAACAGUUUCCGGAGCAUAACUUAAGUUCUAUUUGACCCACAAUGCUCAAACUUCAUAGGAUUAUUGUCCAUAUUAGGUAGAAGACCCCUAUUGAUUUUGGGGUCAAAAGGUCAAGGUCACUAUUACCUUGAUACUGAAAACAGUUUCCGUCCGUUAGCAAUUUGUCCGUUAGCAAUUUGGUUUCCGGAGCAUAACUUAAGUUCCGUUUGGCCCACAAUGUUCAAACUUCAUAGGAUGAUUGUCCAUAUUGGGUAGAAGACCCCUAUUGAUUUUGGGGUCAAAAGGUCAAAGGUCAAGGUCACUAUUACCUUGAUACUGAAAACAGUUUCCGUCCGUUAGCAAUUUGUCCGUUAGCAAUUUGGUUUCCGGAGCAUAACUUAAGUUCCAUUUGGCCCACAAUGUUCAAACUUCAUAGGAUGAUUGUCCAUAUUGGGUAGAAGACCCCUAUUGAUUUUGGGGUCAAAAGGGCAAAGGUCAAGGUCACUUUUACCUUUAUACUGAAAACAGUUUCCGAAGCCAUAACUUAAGUUCCAUUUGACCAACAAUGUUCAAACUUCAUUGGAUGAUUGUCCAUAUUGGGUGGAAGACCUCUAUUGAUUUUGGGGUCAAAAGGUCAAAGGUCACCUUAAAAUUGAAAACAGUUUCCGGAGCAUAACUGAAGUUCCAUUUGGCCCACAAUAUUCAAACUCCUUAGGAUGAUUGUCCAUAUAAGGUAGAAGACCCCUAUUGAUUUUAGGGUCACAAGGUCAAAGGUUAAGGUCAUUAUUAAUAACUUAAGUAUUAAUCAACCUACAUCUGUAAAAUUUUAUAGGAUGAACAGCUAAUUCCCAUGUCUUACAAAUGCUUCAUCCUUACUAAAAAAAAAACACUUUCGGGCAUAUAAUGCUCCGCCUAGCGGUGCUCUUGUUUGUCUAAGCCUUAAGCGCACCACAACAAAAGAUAUUUAUGAACCAUCAGGAUAUAUACUGUUACUGAUGAAAAAUAGAGCACUAGUGCACAGACUUUUGACUCCCCCCCCCCCCCCCCCCCCCCGGACAGUCAACAUUGAAUGACCGAUUUUUGACACUGUCUGAAAAUACUGUUUGUUUUUUUCCAACCCAAAUAUGAUACAUAUAUGUGCCAAAAACCGGGUUUUUUACAUUUUAUAGGGAGGUAGGCUUUACUGUGUAAAAAUUUAAAUCCAUUUUAUAUAUGUUUUCAUUUUACCUGAAAUUCUACUGAUAUCCAUAUAUCAAUUUGCUUUUGUUGUUUAAUUGUCUAUCUAUUUAUUUACUUAAUUGUUUGCCUAAAUAUAACUGUAAUCUGUUUUAUGUAUUUAUUUUAUACAUUCAUUUUUAAUCCCCUUCUGCAUAGAGGGGAGGGGAUUACAGGAAUGGCCUCAGUCUGUCUUCCAUGUCCACUCCAUAACUUUUUUAAACUGUGAAAAUUUUUUGAAAUAACUUGGCACAAACGGUCAGUAUGAGACGAUGUGCAGAGCGCAAUAAUCGGGUCGCUACCCCUAAGGUCACAACUUAAGGUCAUAGGUUAAAAAGUCUACCUUUUGUGUCCGCUCCAUAACUUCAACUGAUGAAAAGUUUUUAACAUAACUUGGCACAAAUUAUCACCUUUAUAUCAUGAUGAGCAAAGCACAACAACAAGGUCACUACCUCCAAGGUCAAGGUCACACUUAAAAGUCAAAUGUUAAUGGUCCACUUUUUGUGUCCCCUAAAUAACUUAAUCUGCUGAAAAGUUUUUAAAAUAACUUGGCACAAAUGAUCACCAUUAUAAUAGGAUGUGCAGAGCGCAACAAUCAGGUCACUGCCCCAAAGGUCACAGGUAGAGGUCAAAUAUUCUUGUUUAUAACUUUUUGACAUGGAAGAUUUUAAAUAUUUUAGCAUAAAUAAUCACGACCAUGGCACAACAGCCAGGUUUUUCUCUAAAAGACAUGGUUUGUUAAAGGUCAAGAAGUACAGAUUCCUGUCCACUGCGAAGGGGAUAUAGAUGUCCUUCAGACUGCCUUGUUUUUAAUUGUUUGAAGUUUGAAAAUGAAAAUGCUCUUUUUAAUUUUGUGAUUGGUAACACCAGAAUUUCGGGUAUAUUGCAUUGGAUUGUAACAUGGCUGACAAGGUGACAGUAAAAUUGCCACCUGUAGAAAAUGCUACCUCAGUUGACAGUGUUUUUCCAAAAGUUGUUAACUUUACUGUCACUCUGUCAGGCAUGCAAUAUUAAUUUUAGUAUACCAAAAAUACUAUUAUGAUAAUGGUAGGGUGUCUUGAUCUAUUUAACAUUUAUGUGCAGUAAUGAAGAACAAUUAGUAUUUAACCUAAAUUUCAAAAUGUUAUUAAAAUGUGUAUAAUAUGUUUAUGUGUCAUUGUUCACAUUUUUUGGUUGAUCGUGUUUUGAAAUAAAACAUGGAAACUAUUAAAA